UACGGGGGGGGCAAGCGUUGUUCGGAAUUACUGGGCGUAAAGAGCUCGUAGGCGGUGUGUCACGUCGGCCGUGAAAACCUGCAGCUUAACUGUGGGCGUGCGGUCGAUACGGGCAUCACUGGAGUUCGGCAGGGGAGACUGGAAUUCCUGGUGUAGCGGUGAAAUGCGUAGAGAUCGGGAAGAACAUCAGUGGCGAAGGCGGUCUGCUGGGCCGUUGCUGACGCUGAGGCGCGACAGCGUGGGGAGCAAACAGG
rnacentral:rRNA from 1 species